rnacentral:lncRNA from 1 species
GUUUAAAAUCAAUUCUCAUAUGUAUGUAUGCAAUUUUUAGCAGCCUUUUGACUUAAAAUACCGUUAGACAUAUCAGUCCAAACCAUCUAAUCCUUCAAAUUACUUGUUUCGGUUGGGAACGAGACAGCAAUUGAUCACCUUGAAUCCGCUCUUCACUUCACAGUUUGCUUGAUAAUAACUUUGAUACCGAACGGAGGUUACCUGCAAGUUAGCACUCCAACGCUCAAGUCAGCAAGGUCACCCCAAGCAAUUAUAUUCAAAAGUGUGUGUAACCACAUACCUGAGUUAUGCUCUCCUAUUUAUAGACAAAUGGUUCCAUCAAAAUAGGAGCCAUGUUAGACUAAGUCCAACUUCCCCUCCACUUCUUCCGUCAAAUUAACUGCUUUAUGGUUAUGACUGCUUCUAACUCCUAGAUUCUUGCGCCGCAACAUCCGCACCUUAUCUCCACUAUCUGCAAUAUUCGCACUCUUAUCUCCAAUAACUACUCUCAGUUACCACUAAACUUACUCUGUUUCCCUACCGGUAUAGGACCUCUCCCGGUCGUCCUGGUGUUGUGCCCGAUCAACUCAACUCUUUCCUUACUAUAUAUCUUUUUCCCUAUCAGUAUAGGGACUCUCCCGAUCAUCCUGGUGUUGUCCCCGAUCGAUCCUAGCUCCCUCCUUACUACAUAAGCCCCCC